UACGUAGGGUGCGAGCGUUGUCCGGAAUUAUUGGGCGUAAAGAGCGCGUAGGCGGUCCAUUAAGUGUGAAGCUAAAUCUCCCGGCUCAACCGGGAAACUAUUUCGCAUACUGAUGGGCUGGAGUGAUGCAGAGGUGGAUAGAAUUCCCGGUGUAGCGGUGAAAUGCGUUGAUAUCGGGAGGAAUACCUGUGGCGAAGGCGGUCCACUGGGCAUCAACUGACGCUGAGGCGCGAAAGCGUGGGUAGCAAACAGG
rnacentral:rRNA from 1 species